GAGGAAUAUUGGUCAAUGGGCGAGAGCCUGAACCAGCCAAGUAGCGUGCAGGAUGACGGCCCUAUGGGUUGUAAACUGCUUUUAUGUGGGGAUAAAGUGAGCUACGUGUAGUUUAUUGCAGGUACCACAUGAAUAAGGACCGGCUAAUUCCGUGCCAGCAGCCGCGGUAAUACGGAAGGUCCAGGCGUUAUCCGGAUUUAUUGGGUUUAAAGGGAGCGUAGGCCGUGGAUUAAGCGUGUUGUGAAAUGUAGACGCUCAACGUCUGAAUUGCAGCGCGAACUGGUUCACUUGAGUAUGCACAACGUAGGCGGAAUUCGUCGUGUAGCGGUGAAAUGCUUAGAUAUGACGAAGAACUCCGAUUGCGAAGGCAGCUUACGGGAGCACAACUGACGCUGAAGCUCGAAGGUGCGGGUAUCAAACAGGAUUAGAUACCCUGGUAGUCCGCACAGUAAACGAUGGAUGCCCGUUGUUAGUUCACCUAAGAAUUAGCGACCAAGCGAAAGCAUUAAGCAUCCCACCUGGGGAGUACGCCGGCAACGGUG
rnacentral:rRNA from 1 species